rnacentral:tRNA from 1 species
UCCCUGGAGGUCCAGGAGUUAGGACUCUGCACUUUCACUGCCAUGACCAGGGUUCAGUUCCCAGUCAGGGAA